rnacentral:rRNA from 1 species
UUUCGCGGUCAUAGCAUGAGGGCUAUACCUGGUCUCGUUUCGAUCCCAGAAGUGAAGUCUUUUUGUGUUUUGUAUUGUGUACUAUGGUUAUUCUAUGGGAAUUUCAUUUCGCUGCGAGCU